rnacentral:snRNA from 1 species
GUGCUCGCUUCAGCAGCACAGAAACGAAAAUUGGAACGAUGCGAAGAAGAUUAGCAUGGCCCCUGUGCAAGGAUGACAUGCAAAUUCGUGAAGAGUUCCAUAUUUUU